GUGAACGCUGGCGGUAGGCCUAACACAUGCAAGUCGAACGGCAGCACAGUAAGAGCUUGCUCUUCCGGGUGGCGAGUGGCGGACGGGUGAGGAAUACAUCGGAAUCUACUUUUUCGUGGGGGAUAACGUAGGGAAACUUACGCUAAUACCGCAUACGACCUACGGGUGAAAGCAGGGGAUCUUCGGACCUUGCGCGAUUGAAUGAGCCGAUGUCGUAUUAGCUAGUUGGCGGGGUAAAGGCCCACCAAGGCGACGAUCCGUAGCUGGUCUGAGAGGAUGAUCGGCCACACUGGAACUGGGACACGGACCAGACUCCUACGGGAGGCAGCAGUGGGGAAUAUUGGACAAUGGGCGCAAGCCUGAUCCAGCCAUACCGCGUGGGUGAAGAAGGCCUUCGGGUUGUAAAGCCCUUUUGUUGGGAAAGAAAAGCAGCAGGUUAAUACCCCGCUGUUCUGACGGUACCCAAAGAAUAAGCACCGGCUAACUUCGUG
rnacentral:rRNA from 1 species